UGAAGGUGCCGCCACGUGUUCUUCU
rnacentral:piRNA from 1 species